UGAUUAAUCAGUUGAUAUUAUUGUCGCAGGAUGCAAGGAUGUCAACCAAAGAAGUAAGGAAUUCAGAGGUGUGCAGAUGCAUUCUGACUGGUCAUCCAUGUGUACUAUUAACAAGAAGUUCAAGGCAGAACUCAUAAAUACUACUUUCCUGCUGUAUAGAUUUCCAGCCCUAUGGGUGUCCCGAAAUCCAGGCCGCCAGUAACACGAAAUCCCCAAGGUUGGUCAUCUGUCUUGGAG